GAUCGCUUGCCUGUGACCUCCUUUUUGGUCACCUGACUUCCUGUUGGUGUUGCUGAGAUUAGUUGCGGGUUACUUUUCUGAAGCCUCCAUCGCAGCUGGAUAAAAGCAAAGCAGCAGCUACUUUGGUGUGGGAUUCCACAGCUGUGUUACAGAGAUGGAGGAAGAGUUACAGGAACUCAGGGACUUGAUCGCGCAGCUGAAAGCAGACAAUGAGAGGCUGCGUCAGGAGAGGGCUGUUGGGUCAGAUGCGGAGUGCUGACGUGGAGGAGACUAGGGUGCCUUGGUGGUGGGAUCCUCUGAGUGUACACACCUGCCUUGUUUAAUUUAUUAGUGUGAGUGUGCUGCACUUGUGUCUUGGUGUAUUUUCUUUUUUUU
ensembl:lncRNA